GUGGGGAAUAUUGGACAAUGGGGGGAACCCUGAUCCAGCCAUGCCGCGUGUGUGAAGAAGGCCUUUUGGUUGUAAAGCACUUUAAGCGAGGAGGAGGCUACCGAGAUUAAUACUCUUGGAUAGUGGACGUUACUCGCAGAAUAAGCACCGGCUAACUCUGUGCCAGCAUCCGCGGUAAUACAGCGGGUGCAAGCGUUAAUCGGCUUUACUGGGCGUAAAGCGCGCGUAGGUGGCCAAUUAAGUCAAAUGUGAAAUCCCCGAGCUUAAGUUGGGAAUUGCAUUCGAUACUGGAUGGCUAGAGGAUGGGAGAGGAUGGUAGAAUGCCAGGUGUAGCGGUGAAAUGCGUAGAGAUCUGGAGGAAUACCGAUGGCGAAGGCAGCCAUCUGGCCUAAUACUGACACUGAGGCGCGAAAGCAUGGGGAGCAAACAGGAUUAGAAACCCUUGUAGUCC
rnacentral:rRNA from 1 species